CCAAGGCGAUGGUGGGAUUAGGGUGAGGGAGGGGAGAGUUCCUGAGGGUGGGGUUUCGCAUUUGCCCCUUUUAAUGCUUCCGUGCCUCGGGGAUGGGGAGGAUGCAACAGCCCUCGAGGAAUCGGAGAUCGGCUUACCUCACGGCCCUCACGCUAGAGAUCAAGAAAUCUAUACAAGACAGUUAAUUUGGGCUUCCUUCUACGGGAAGAGAUGAUAUGAUAAUGUUUCCAAAGCAAUCAUUGUCAUCAUUAUCCAAGUUUGGAAGAUUCUAAAGGAAUUUUUUCCUUCUGCAACAAGUUGAGAAGAUAAGUAUACAUGAAUUCAUAUCACGUUCCUUAACGCAAGCAGUGUAUCAACUUUGCAUUUACUUUUCCUUUUGAUUUGACUGAGUUUAGAUCUUUGCUAAAUCUUUGUCUUUGGAGUGCUUUCAAUCUUGCAGUUUAUUGAUUAGGAACAAAAAGUUGAUUCAUAGACUAGUAUCAUGGCGAAGGUCCAUCGUCUUAUGGUGUGAUCUGAUGUAUAAGUCUGCACCACCCGAUGUCACAUCAUUAUUCCAUGUAGAACAUAGCCAACAUCUACAGGCAGUUCCACUUGUAUAUUCUUACCUUUGCCUAAAUGAAGCUUCCCUUGGUAUGUUCUUUUUAUAAUGAAAAUGUCUUGUCUGAUUAAUUUUGCA